CCGCCAUUCCCACAUCUCCAGCGGGCCGGGCGCCUCCACCCCGGCGAGCAGCCGGCUGAAGCUGCCGGCGUCGGUGUGCCAGAGGCGGACGGCCUCGUCGGCGGGGACGACGCGGACCGCGGGCCCCUGUUCCCAGUCGAGCAGGGUGGUGAAGCUGACGCCGAGGGCGUCGCCGAUCUUCACAAUAUAACCGAGGCUGGGGUUGGAAAUUCCUUGUCGGAUCUGUUCCGACCUGCACGAAUGGCGUAACGACUUCUCGACUGUCUCAACCAUAGGCCCGGUGAAAUUGCACUACGAGUAAAGAUGCUCGUUUCGCGCAGCAGGACGGAAAGACCCCGGGACCUUUACUACAGUUUGAUAUUGGUGUUCGGUUCGGCUUGUGUAGGAUAGCUGGGAGACUUUGAAGCUCGCACGCCAGUGUGGGUGGAGUCGUCGUUGAAAUACCAGUCUGGUCGUGCUGGAUGUCUAACCUGGGUCCGUGAUCCGGAUCAGGGACAGUGUCUGAUGGGUAGUUUAACUGGGGCGGUUGCCUCCUAAAGAGUAACGGAGGCGCCCAAAGGUUCCCUCAGCCUGGUUGGCAAUCAGGUGUUGAGUGUAAGUGCACAAGGGAGCUUGACUGUGAGACCGACGGGUCGAGCAGGGACGAAAGUCGGGACUAGUGAUCCGGCGGUGGCUUGUGGAAGCGCCGUCGCUCAACGGAUAAAAGGUACCCCGGGGAUAACAGGCUGAUCUUCCCCAAGAGUCCAUAUCGACGGGAUGGUUUGGCACCUCGAUGUCGGCUCGUCGCAUCCUGGGGCUGGAGUCGGUCCCAAGGGUUGGGCUGUUCGCCCAUUAAAGCGGUACGCGAGCUGGGUUUAGAACGUCGUGAGACAGUUCGGUCCCUAUCCGCUGUGCGCGUAGGAGUCUUGAGAAGGGCUGUCCCUAGUACGAGAGGACCGGGACGGACGAACCUCUGGUGUGCCAGUUGUCCUGCCAAGGGCAUGGCUGGUUGGCUACGUUCGGGAGGGAUAACCGCUGAAAGCAUCUAAGCGGGAAGCCUGCUUCGAGAUGAGGACUCCCACCCCCUUGAGGGGUUAAGGCUCCCAGUAGACGACUGGGUUGAUAGGCCGGAUCUGGAAGCACCGUGAGGUGUGGAGGUGACCGGUACUAAUAGGCCGAGGGCUUGUCCUC
rnacentral:rRNA from 1 species